AUACGGAGGAUGCGAGCGUUAUCCGGAUUUAUUGGGUUUAAAGGGAGCGUAGGUGGGAUAUUAAGUCAGCUGUGAAAGUUUGGGGCUCAACCUUAAAAUUGCAGUUGAUACUGGUUUCCUUGAGUACGGUAUAGGUGGGCGGAAUUCGUGGUGUAGCGGUGAAAUGCUUAGAUAUCACGAAGAACUCCGAUUGCGAAGGCAGCCUGCUGGACUGUAACUGGCGCUGAUGCUCGAAAGUGUGGGUAUCAAACAGGAUUAGAUACCCUGGUAGUCCACACAGUAAACGAUGAAUACUCGCUGUUUGCGAUAUACAGUAAGCGGCCAAGCGAAAGCGUUAAGUAUUCCACCUGGGGAGUACGCCGGCAACGGUGAAACUCAAAGGAAUUGACGGGG
rnacentral:rRNA from 1 species